rnacentral:rRNA from 1 species
AGUGAACGCUGGCGGUAGGCCUAACACAUGCAAGUCGAACGGCAGCACAGUAAGAGCUUGCUCUUACGGGUGGCGAGUGGCGGACGGGUGAGGAAUACAUCGGAAUCUACUUUUUCGUGGGUGAUAACGUAGGGAAACUUACGCUAAUACCGCAUACUACCUACGGGUGAAAGCAGGGGAGCUUCGGACCUUGCGCGACUGAAUGAGCCGAUGUCGGAUUAGCUAGUUGGCAGGGUAAAGGCACACCAAGGCAACGAUCCGUAGCUGGUCUGAGAGGAUGAUCGGCCACACUGGAACUGAGACACGGUCCAGACUCCUACGGGAGGCAGCAGUGGGGAAUCUUGGGCAAUGGGCGCAAGCCUGACCGAGCAAUGCCGCGUGGGUGAUGAAGGUCUUCGGGUCGUAAAGCUCUUUUAUUGGGAAAGAAAAGCUGUAGGUUAAUACCCGGCUGUCUUGACGGUACCUAAUGAAUAAGCACCGGCUAACUUCGUG